rnacentral:lncRNA from 1 species
CUUUCGCAAAUGCCGAAACAGAGCAUCCUGUUCCCACGGCAAAAAUACUUAGAAUAUCUAGACUUUGGGGUUGACGAGUGGCGGGUGGAGGUGGUGGUGGAGGUGGGAGCUGGAAAUGGCGCCUCCCCCGGAUGGCAACGCCCACAAAAAAUGGUUCAAUCAGCACACGAGACCUGGAGCUUUCUCGGGCAGUUCGUUCCAAAGUUGUCACGAGCGACGAAUUUUGCGGGCUCUCCAAGUAUCAGAAAGUCUUCUUUAGAGUCGUUGGAAAUGAGGGCUUGAGUUUAUUCUCCCUAGGAUCCUAUUCUAGAGAAGCAGCACUCGCUUUUGAUUAAGAAAUUCUGGGAACUUUCUCUAGCGACCGUUCCUUGGCGCUCUGUAUUAUGCUCGGGAGAAGACUUCAGUUCUAAGGAGCUCUUCUUGUGCUGACGAGCCUCCUCAAGGCAGUCUUUCCCAGGUUAAUUUCUUAUCAAGCAAUAUAUCCGGCUCGAUGCCGUCACUGCUAUCCAUUUUCUUAAGCUCCAUCUGAUAACGUUUUUAUUUCUUUCAAUUUUUGUUCUUUUAUUUGAAAAAAAAAAUCAGAAAUCCAUUUAGUAAUAUCAAUUAAUUUUUCUAUUCUCCAGAAUAAAAAAAGUGACUAAAGAAUAAAUUUGAAACAAAAAAAAAUAGAAUUAAAAAAAAUUCUACAUUACAAUUGUUUUUUGUAAAUUGCAUCAAACGCAUUCUAUUAUUUUUCCAUUUCGAGAAUAAAAAUUUUGUGUAGUUAUCAAAUACAUUAUUUAAUUGAGAAAUUGUUUAGAGAAAUAGAAAUAAAAAAAUUAUUUUUAAAAAGAAAUUAUAUCCCGGAACAUAAGCAUUAUCAAACGGACCUGUAGCCUUCCCCUUUCGGCUUUCUAGCUUGUCAAGCAAGUUUCGCCGUGUGACACGAGCAAUUGAUUAGCUCAGGAAUAAAUUUCUGAGGACACAUCCACAUCUACUGGACUAUAGAAGUCCUGCUAUUGCCCGUUCAAGGGAGUAUUGUUCUUAGUCCAACGAGCUGCUAUUGAUGUCCCUCAGUACUUGAUUAAGGAAAAUAAUUCAUUUGACAUGACCCGCGCACCUACUUUUGCUUGCUGGGGGAAGGUGCGGUUUUGAUUGGAUGUAAGAAUUGGUGGUACCUCGUCAGUUGUCAAAUAUCUGAUGAUGGAAUCUGGAAAGAGAAAGAUGCAUAGGGCUUUUAUCGUUUCGAGAAGGGAUGGGUGCAUCAACUCUGCUUAAACUUGAAGCUAACGCUCUUCUUGUCCAAUAACAGCGAUAUUUGGUUCGACAGGGCUCCGAACUGGAAUCAAUUGAACCGGAAGUUUCUCAUUAUUGAGAGACAAGCACAUCUUCGCGAGGGAAAUCUUGACCAAAAGAUGUUUAAAACAGCUUGCUAUCUUGUAUUGAUGACUUGGGUUGCCAAAUAUACCAGAUCUCUCGAAUGCUCACUAACAGUAACACGUCCUCCUGCUAACAGUGGAUAUCUAAUGCACAAAAAAGCAGGUUAUCGGGUUCAUGACUAUCAGAUACAAACUUUUACCAUGCAUUGCGCCGGGGUCAAGAGCUUCAUACACUGAUAAUAUUUAAAAGAACCAUGUGUUUAAACCUUUACCCCACUAACCCGCAUAGAAAAAAGAGGUCAGAGAAAACCUGUGCCUGCAUUGUAAAUUUAUUGGAAACCAGUAUACCGAACCCACCACAGUAUGGCCUCCGCUUUAGGCGAUGCUUUGUCUAUGGGACCUGCCCCUGUACUCCAUGAGACUUCACACUUUAACUUUUGCUGCAGCUUCCUUAAUUUGUUCAAUUGUGAAGAUUCCGAAAACAUCGUCAUCACUUACAGCAUUGAUUACCGCUAGCGCUACGUCAUCGACACUAACUGGUGGAGCCAAAAAAAUAUCUGAUGCUGGGAGAGAGCUUAGAGGUUUGGUAAAGUUUU